ensembl:lncRNA
CUAAUUGGAGUAAAUGGUUGGAGUAAACGGUUUCUAAUUGGAGUAAAUGGUUGGAGUAAACGGUUUCUAAUUGGAGUAAACGACUUCUGUUGCGAAACCGUUAAUAAUAAGGAACCAAACGGCGAAAACAGAAUCAAACGGGGAGGGAUCUACCUGAAUUUAUCAACUACAAACUCUAGUAUAUUCACUAUGGAAGCUGUUUAGCGUUUAAGAACCAAACUGAAGCAAAUAAAUAAUAAUUCAGCGCAGAGCUCGGUGCUUCUAGCAAGUGUAAACAAAAGGAAAUUGACAUCUUGCAGUCUUGCAUAUCUUGGAAAGGCAAUCGGCGGAUCAAGGUUUUUACUUGUUGAGUAAAUCGCUAGCUAUAUUUACAUACUAGUGUGUUAUUUGAGUAUUCAAUUUUUGUGUAUAUCCUCGCGCAUUUUAACUUGAGCUUCAGAUUGAGCAGAAGAAGUGGAAGUCAAAACAUGGUGGAGACACGCACAGUACGGUUAGAGUCCUUGGAUGACAGCUCCGAUGAUGAACCCCUAAUUGCAUUAGUAAAGAAGAAGCCGCAGCACAUUGAACACAAUGGGACUCAGGGUGAAAAAGACCAGAACCGACAACCUGAACCUGAGUCAAAGAAUAGCACUAGAAAAGAUUCUGGGUUGGAUGACACCUCAGAUGAUGAGCCCUUGACGAAGUUGCUGAAUAAACUUUCCAGAGCUAAAAAAGCCACCGUACAAGCAAAGAGGCCAGGGACUACUGAUAUCAAAAGAGGAACAGGUAAUGGCAUCAAGAAGACAAACAACAAAUUCACAGGUUCAACCCAGAAUGAGGACUCCUAUGAUAGCUCAGACGAUGAGCCCUUGAUAAAGAUGAUUAGAAAGAUCCCUAAACAGACAUCAUUGCCAUUCAAAAAGAGACCUUUCAACACAGCCAGAGAGAUGAACGAUGUGAAGAAGCGCAGAAAUAGCUCACAGAACACUAAUAAAAUAAGCACAGAUUCAUCAUCAGGUGACAGCUCAGAUGACGUGCCCCUGAUUAACAUGGUCGACAAACUCAAGACACAAAUGCGAACGAAGACACCCACCACUACAGCCAGAAAAACACCUGGCAUUAAAAAGCCCAGAAAAGUUUUUAAAAAACACAACAGGAGUAUAGAGACCUCAGAUGACAGCUCUGAUGAUGAGCCAUUAAUAAAUCUGACCAAGAAGUUUCCAUCUAAAGGGACUGAAAGGACAAUACUGAAGAGGUGUGUCACUAAGGAAUCAAACAGCAACAACUGUAAUAAAAUUGAAGGGAAAAUGAGCAGAGAGGAAGAGGUGAGUUCUGAUUCUGAUGAUAAGCCCUUGAUAAAUCUCGUCAAGAAGCCUCUUAAAGUUGUAAAGAAGACCAUGACACCAUUAAAGAAGAGGAGCGUAUCAGGAAAGACUGUGGUAGCCAGAAAGAAGACGAGACCAGACAUUAGGAACAAAGCAGUCAUCAGACGGAGCACCAAAGUUGUUCAAAGAACACGUGAAGGGUCUUUGGAUGACAGCUCAGACGAUGAGCCCUUGAGUAAAAAGAUGGUGAGAAAUCCACAAAUGAAGAGCCUAAUGGUGAUUCUGGAGAGAUGUGACACAAAAGAAGUCUUGGAAGAUAACUAUAGAGCCAACGUGGGAAACACUGGUAAAAGAAGUGCAGGGGAUAAGGAGAACUCCGAUGAUGAACUCUUGAUAAAGAUGGUCACGAAUCCCCCUCAUUCUUCACCAGAAACUAUGGCAGAGAAGGAAAAUAAGUCACAAACUGCCCUUACGAUGAACCUUUGAUAAAGAUGGUUGGAAACCCAAAGUCAUGUUCAAGGGAUAUUAUAGAUACUGGAAUAGUGACUUUGUUUUGGGAAAACGUUGAGUAACAAAUUUGCCGGGAAGAUGGCACAAUUGUUACUGACAC